rnacentral:rRNA from 1 species
CAUGCAGUCGAACGGAACUUUUUUAAAGGAUUUCUUCGGAAUGAAUUUGAUUAAGUUUAGUGGCGGACGGGUGAGUAACGCGUGAGUAACCUGCCUCUAAGAGGGGAAUAACAUUCUGAAAAGAAUGCUAAUACCGCAUAACAUAUAUUUAUCGCAUGGUAGAUAUAUCAAAGAUUUAUCGCUUAGAGAUGGACUCGCGUCCGAUUAGUUAGUUGGUGAGGUAACGGCUCACCAAGACCGCGAUCGGUAGCCGGACUGAGAGGUUGAACGGCCACAUUGGGACUGAGACACGGCCCAGACUCCUACGGGAGGCAGCAGUGGGGGAUAUUGCGCAAUGGGGGAAACCCUGACGCAGCAACGCCGCGUGAAGGAUGAAGGUCUUCGGAUUGUAAACUUCUUUUAUUAAGGACGAAGAAAGUGACGGUACUUAAUGAAUAAGCUCCGGCUAACUACGUGCCAGCAGCCGCGGUAAUACGUAGGGAGCAAGCGUUGUCCGGAUUUACUGGGUGUAAAGGGUGCGUAGGCGGCUUUGCAAGUCAGAUGUGAAAUCUAUGGGCUCAACCCAUAGCCUGCAUUUGAAACUGCAGAGCUUGAGUGAAGUAGAGGCAGGCGGAAUUCCCCGUGUAGCGGUGAAAUGCGUAGAGAUGGGGAGGAACACCAGUGGCGAAGGCGGCCUGCUGGGCUUUAACUGACGCUGAGGCACGAAAGCGUGGGUAGCAAACAGGAUUAGAUACCCUGGUAGUCCACGCUGUAAACGAUGAUUACUAGGUGUGGG